rnacentral:rRNA from 1 species
GACGACCAGCCUCACUGGAACUGAGACACGGUCCAUACACCUACGGGUGGCAGCAGUCGAGAAUUUUUCUCAAUGGGGGAAACCCUGAAGGAGCGACGCCGCGUGGGGGAUGAAUGGCUUCGGCCCGUAAACCCCUGUCAUUUGCGAUCAAACCUUACGUUUUAAUAAAGCGUAAGCUGAUAGUAGCGAAAGAGGAAGGGACGGCUAACUCUGUGCCAGCAGCCGCGGUAAUACAGAGGUCCCAAGCGUUGUUCGGAUUCACUGGGCGUAAAGGGUGCGUAGGCGGUCGGGUAAGUCUGACGUGAAAUCUUCAAGCUUAACUUGGAAACUGCGUCGGAUACUAUUCGGCUCGAGGAAUGGAGGGGAGACUGGAAUACUUGGUGUAGCAGUGAAAUGCGUAGAUAUCAAGUGGAACACCAGUGGCGAAGGCGAGUCUCUGGACAUUUCCUGACGCUGAGGCACGAAAGCCAGGGGAGCAAACGGGAUUAGAUACCCCGGUAGUCCUGGCCCUAAACGGUGCACGUUUGCUGUAAGAGGAAUCGACCCCUUUUGUGGCGAAGCUAACGCGUUAAACGUGCCGCCUGGGAAGUACGGCCGCAAGGUUAAAACUCAAAGAAAUUGACGGGGGCCUGCACAAGCGGUGGAGUAUGUGGCUUAAUUCGAUACUACGCGAAGAACCUUACCUGGCCUUGACAUGCACAUAGUAGAAGCCUGAAAGGGUGACGAGGUAGCAAUACCAGUGUGCACAGGUGCUGCAUGGCUGUCGUCAGCUCGUGUCGUGAGAUGUUGGGUUAAGUCCCGCAACGAGCGCAACCCCUGUGUCCUGUUGCCACCCCUUAAUUGGGAGCACUCUGGACAGACUGCCUCGCUUCAACGAGGAGGAAGGUGGGGAUGACGUCAAGUCAGUAUGGCCCUUACGGCCAGGGCUGCACACGUACUACAAUGCCCGGCACAAAGGGACGCAAGACCGUCAGGUGGAGCAAAUCCCAGAAAACCGGGCCCAGUUCAGAUUGUCGUCUGCAACUCGACGGCAUGAAGCUGGAAUCGCUAGUAAUGGCGCAUCAGCUACGGCGCCGUGAAUACGUUCCCAGGCCUUGUACACACCGCCCGUCACAUCAUGAAAGCCGGUUGUACCCGAAGUCGCCCCUCAAAAGGUGCCGAAGGUAUGGCUGGUGAUUGGGAUGAAGUCGUAACAAGGUAGCCGUAGGGGAACCUGCGGCUG